rnacentral:rRNA from 1 species
CCUACGGGUGGCAGCAGUGAGGAAUAUUGGUCAAUGGACGAGAGCCUGAACCAGCCAAGUAGCGUGAAGGAUGACUGCCCUACGGGUUGUAAACUUCUUUUCUAUGGGAAUAAAACAGGGCAAGCAUACCCCCUUGUAUGUACCAUAUGAAUAAGGAUCGGCUAACUCCGUGCCAGCAGCCGCGGUAAUACGGAGGCUCCGAGCGUUGUCCGGAAUUAUUGGGUUUAAAGGGAGCGUAGGUGGUUGGUUAAGUCAGUUGUGAACGUGUGCGGCUCAACCGUUACAUUGCAAUUGAAACUGACAGUCUUGAGUACAGGAGGGGUGAGCGGAAGUCGUGGUGUAGCAGUGAAAUGCUUAGAUAUCAAGAAGAACUCUGAUUGCGAAGGCAGCUUACUGGACUGCAACUGACACUGAUGCUCGAAGGUGUGGGUAUCAAACGGGAUUAGAUACCCCAGUAGUC